GUGCAAGGCAGAUCUCCCAUGCUUCUCUUUGACUUAUCUGCCGUACAUUUUCGCAUUGUGUCAGAGCUCUUGUUAGCAAACACAGAGACAGCAUCACACUUGGGAGAGACUUGUUGGGGAGAGAAAACAAAACAAGCCACUCCCCAUUCCAGAUAAAAACUGCUGCUCUCACUGACCAAAGACAGGACCACAGAGAAAUGGCCUAGAAGAACAGACACCCUCUAGAGCCCAUCCUAUGAGACCACCCCUUACAGCCCAAACUAUGAGACCAGCCCAUACAGCUCAAGCAUAGAAGUACACAUCAGCCUCAAGAUAACAAGGACAGGCGCAGUAAAGUCACAAGAGCUAAAGACUCCCCUUCAUUUUUCUUUCCUUUUCACCCCAUCCUCCCCUUCCUCUCUUCCUUCUUCUUUCUCUCCUCUGUGCCUUCCUCUCUCCCUUCCUUUUUUCCUCCUUCCUCCUUUCCCUUCCUCCCCCUUCCUUUUCUCUGUAUAUCUGUUCCCUUUCAAUUUUAUUCUCUUUGUUCAGACUUACGGAAGCAUCACAUUAGACAUCUCCACUAAUCUCAGGAUGACUGAAAGGUGGGUUCAUCUCUAGGUUAAACUUUCAGAGCUUUCUGAUUCAAUAUUUGGGACUGUAAGUACUUAUCGUUUUGACCUUAUAGUCUUUUACUUAUUAUUUGCUUAUUCAUUCAUUCAUUCCCUUUUCAUCUAUUUUUAGUAUUAGUACAAUCUUUGUGCAUAUUUCCUAUAUAGUGAGGAAUAACCUUUCACUUAAAGGGUUUAUAAAGGUGAUUAUAGCAUGUGUAUGUGUGUGUGUGUGUGUAUAUAUACAUAUAAGGGUUUAUAAAGUCGAAUAUAGAAUGUGUAUACAUAUACAUACACAUAUGUAUAUAUAUACAUAUAUAUAUGCUAAUGAUUUAUAGCAAAAGUUUUAUCCACAUCAUCAUGAAGACAGAGUGACAACAGCAAAGAAUACAAGGAAAUUGUCCCUGCCUCCUGUUUUGCCCAUAAUACUUUCCUUUGUCACCCAACUUUGAACGUGGAACUGAGCAGCAGAAGCAGCCAUUAGAGACUGCAUCAUGACCAAAGAGAGAUUCAGAAACCAGAGACAAAUAUACCAGGGAAGAAGGGGAGACAUGCACACAGGAUGGAUUCCAGAUCAGAGCAGUGGAACAGGUUUCUAGAUUUCAGAUUCCCACACAUACAGCCAGGAAGUCUGCUCAGGGAAGCUGGAGAAGCCACUGCUGCAUGGGAAAUGAUUAGAUGUGUUCCUCGCCAUGUAGCUCCUGUUUAAAGAGGAACCAGGACAACCAAGUUGUCUGUCCUCUUCUCGAGGCCCUGCUGUUGUGUUAUUGUUAAUAUUAAAAGUAGGGACUGGAGAGCUAACUACAACAGAGAGGCCUAUGCUAACAUGAUUGCAUAUCUAACCCUAACCCUAACCCUAACCCUAACCCUAACCCUAACCCUACCCCUAACCCUAACCCUAACCCUACCCCAAACCCUAACAUAACAAGGAAAUAGCAGAGACCUAGGGUCUGUGGCAGACCAGUAGUCUUUCUGACUAUGCAUGGUCCACCUCAGUACACAUGUUUAAAUUAAAACAUGGGAUUUUUGAUAGUAAAUAGUUUCCUUUAAGGCCCUCCUGGGCCUAGAAUCCUCUUUUAUCCUUCUGAGGCACAAUACUCUUCCCAUGAUCUGAAACGGACAGUUUGGUGCUAAAUGAAGGUUGAGCAUGGUGUUGAAACAGUCCUAGCGUAAAUAACAACUUUGUUUCAUGGACAAGGUUUCACGGACUCCUGACUGGCCUUGAGCUCACUUUGGAGCUAAUGAUGAGUCUGAAUUUCUGAUCCCUCAGUGUCGACCACCUGAGAGGGAGGUCAGUUGGUGUGCCGCUCAGUUUAUGGUGGGCUGGGGAUUCGUACAUGCCGGACAAACACUCUAACAAGCUAUAUUUUCAGCCAGUCAUUAGUAACAUCUUUUAUCCUCUAAAUCCUUAUCAGUCAUGAUGUUGAUUCAAAUUGUCUCAGUCUCUCUCAAUGAACAAAAGAAUCAUAGAGAUAUAUCUGUUAGGAAUAAAAUAUGGACAUGUUUUCUUAGACUGUAAUAUGAUCUCUAUGUGCAACAAAAGCACUCCAUUUGAAAAUCAAUGAAGAAUCCCUACAAAUUCCUAAAAUGACAACAUAUAGAAAAUUGUCAAGAGACUUGAAGAGCUGUGUCAUACAAACACAAAAAUGUUUAAGUCACUAGCCAACAAACAGGAAAAUUCCAACCUCUUUAGUAAACCAAGAAACGCAAAAUUAAGCCAGGUGAUGGUGGCACGUGCCUUUAAUCCCAGCACUCACGAGGCAGAGGCAGGUGCAUCUCUGUGACUUCAAAGCCAGCCUAAUCUAGAGCUUGAGUUCCAGGACUGCCAGGGCUCCAAAGAGAAACCCUGUCUCAAAAAAAAAAAAAAAAAAAAAAGAAAAGAAAAGUAAAGAAAAGAAGAGGAAAGAAAGAAAGAAAGAAAGAAAGAAAGAAAGAAAGAAAGAAAAGAAGAGAAAAGAGAAGAAAAAGAGAAAGGAAAGAAAAUUAAACCAACAGUGAAGGAAUGCACAGAUAGCAAAUAAAUAAAUAAAUAAAUAAAUAAAUAAACAAACAAACGUGACGUGGUGUCAUGAAAUUGGGUGGGGAGAGAGGGCAUGGAAUCUUUACACACUCUAAGAAGUCCGGAAGGCCAGGUGCCCACUGUGGGUGACAGUUGCAGCUUCAGAGUGAGGCUGAGGGCUGAAUGUGACACAGGACUCAGUACUCACCCCACAGCUCCCAGGGACUGAACCACCAACCAAAGAGCACACAUGGAGGGACCCAUGGCUCCAGCUGCACAUGUAGCAGAGGACGGCAUCGUCUGACAUCAAUGGGAGGAGAGGCCCUUGGUCCUGUGAAGACUCAAUGCCUCAGCAUAGGGGAAUGCCAAGGUCUCAAGUUCCUAUCGAGGAAAAGAGGCACCUUACAACCAUGCCACAGAGUGACCUGGCAAGAAUUUAAGUUGUUAACGUCCCUUCAUUGUGGGAGUCACAAGUGCCUAUGCGAGACUUGUAUGCUUUAUGAAUUCGCUUUUGGAGAAAAAUGAUUCUCUUCAAUCAGCUUUUCAAGCUGAGGCUGUAUAUCAGAAACUUUUGACCAGAAAAAGUCAGGCUGACUCAACAGAACCUUGGAUUGCUUGAAGUAAUGAAAAAAGUCCAUUUCUUCAGGUUGAAGGAUGAGUAGGGUGGUGGCCUUAUCGUCCAUCCAGGUCACUGGCCAGUCCAGCCACCAUUGGAGGGUGGGUUGUAUUGAACAAUUCAGUCCACCUCAGGGAUGCCCAGGUCUCUGGCUGCCACAUCUAUGCAUAGCAGUAUCCCUAAUUCUAUGUGGCAGAACUGGAAGAACAUGGUUAUCCUGUUUAUUUUGCUUUUGCCUUCCAAAGAUGGUCAAACAAGAUGAAUCAACAUAGUUCAGUAGCUCACAGUGGCAUUCACAGACAUUCAUGAUUAAAAGACCAUUAAUUUAUUCUUUGAGUUCUUUUUUUAAAGAUUUAUUUAUUUUAUAUUUAUGAGUACACUGUAGCUGUCUUCACACACCAGAAGAGGG
ensembl:lncRNA